rnacentral:rRNA from 1 species
UACGGAGGGUGCGAGCGUUGUCCGGAAUCAUUGGGCGUAAAGGGCGCGUAGGUGGCCCCUCAAGCGUGCGGUGAAAGUCAGGGGCUCAACCCCUGAUCGGCCGUGCGAACUGGGGAGCUUGAGCACUGUAGAGGCAGGCGGAAUUCCGGGUGUAGCGGUGGAAUGCGUAGAGAUCCGGAAGAACACCGGUGGCGAAGGCGGCCUGCUGGGCAGUAGCUGACACUGAGGCGCGACAGCGUGAGGAGCAAACAGG